ensembl:snoRNA SNORD12B small nucleolar RNA, C/D box 12B
GCUGGCAUAUAUGAUGAGCGAACUUUUUUCCCCUGCAGAUCGACCAUGUUGAUCUAACUUCCUUAAGCCAGUUUCUGUCUGAUAUGCCAGC